rnacentral:rRNA from 1 species
UACGUAGGGGGCAAGCGUUGUCCGGAUUUAUUGGGCGUAAAGAGCGUGUAGGCGGCCAGGUAGGUCUGCUGUGAAAACUCGAGGCUUAACCUCGAGCUGUCGGCGGAAACCAUCUGGCUAGAGUCCGGAAGAGGAGAAUGGAAUUCCCGGUGUAGCGGUGAAAUGCGCAGAUAUCGGGAAGAACACCCGUGGCGAAGGCGGCGCACUGGACCACAUCUGACGCUGAGGCGCGAAAGCUAGGGGAGCAAACAGG